UGAGGAAUAUUGGGCAAUGGAGGAAACUCUGACCCAGCAACGCCGCGUGAAGGAAGAAGGUUUUCGGAUUGUAAACUUCUGUUAUAGGGGAAAAAGAAAGUGAUGGUACCCUAUGAGCAAGCUACGGCAAACUAUGUGCCAGCAGCCGCGGUAAUACAUAGGUAGCAAGCGUUAUCCGGAAUAACUGGGUGUAAAGGGAGUGUAGGUGGAUGUGCAAGUAUUAUGUGAAAGCCCACGGCUUAACUGUGGGAUUGCAUAAUAAACUACAUAUCUAGAGUACGAGAGAGGCAAGUGGAAUUCCUAGUGUAGCGGUAGAAUGCGUAGAGAUUAGGAGGAACACCGGAGGCGAAGGCGGCUUGCUGGCUCGCAACUGACACUGAGACUCGAAAGUGUGGGGAGCAAACAGG
rnacentral:rRNA from 1 species